rnacentral:rRNA from 1 species
AACAAACGCUGGCGGCGUGCCUAAUACAUGCAAGUCGAACGGGGAAAGCUUUCGGGUGAGUACUAGUGGCGCACGGGUGAGUAACGCGUGGAUAAUCUGCCUUAGAGUGGGGGAUAACUAGUCGAAAGAUUAGCUAAUACCGCAUAAGACCACAAGAACUGCGGUUCAAGAGGUCAAAGGUUUUUCGCUCUAAGAUGAGUCCGCGUAAGAUUAGCUAGUUGGUGAGGUAACGGCUCACCAAGGCAACGAUCUUUAACUGGUCUGAGAGGAAGAUCAGUCACACUGGAACAGAGACACGGUCCAGACUCCUACGGGAGGCAGCAGUAGGGAAUAUUGCACAAUGGAGGAAACUCUGAUGCAGCGACGCCGCGUGAGUGAUGAAGGCCUUCGGGUCGUAAAGCUCUGUCGCAGGGGAAUAACACAAUGAAUGUACCCUGUAAGAAAGGAUCGGCUAACUUCGUGCCAGCCGCCGCGGUAACAC